rnacentral:rRNA from 1 species
AUUGAACGCUGGCGGAAUGCUUUACACAUGCAAGUCGAGCGGCAGCACGGACUUCGGUCUGGUGGCGAGUGGCGAACGGGUGAGUAAUGUAUCGGAACGUGCCCAGUCGUGGGGGAUAACGUAGUGAAAAUUACGCUAAUACCGCAUACGAUCUAUGGAUGAAAGCGGGGGAUCGCAAGACCUCGCGCGAUUGGAGCGGCCGAUAUCAGAUUAGGUAGUUGGUGGGGUAAAGGCCCACCAAGCCAACGAUCUGUAGCUGGUCUGAGAGGACGACCAGCCACGCUGGAACUAGGACACGGUCCAGACUCCUACGGGAGGCAGCAGUGGGGAAUUUUGGACAAUGGGCGAAAGCCUGAUCCAGCCAUUCCGCGUGCAGGAUGAAGGCCCUCGGGUUGUAAACUGCUUUUGUACAGAACGAAAAGGUUUCUACUAAUACUAGGAGCUCAUGACGGUACUGUAAGAAUAAGCACCGGCUAACUACGUGCCAGCCGCCGCAGUAA